rnacentral:tRNA from 73 species
CAAGGCAGUGGAUUUGUGAA